rnacentral:ncRNA from 1 species
UGUUCUCAGGGCGGGGUGCAACUCCCCACCGGCGGUAUGUGAGGUAUCUCACGAGCCCGCGAGCGGCCCAAUAUGGGUGCCAGCAGAUCUGGUGAGAUGCCAGAGCCGACGGUUAUAGUCCGGAUGAAAGAGAGCG